rnacentral:lncRNA from 1 species
ACAAAUUUUCUACCGUUUUAGCAUCAAAACAAGACUAUCAUAAAAGAUGACACUUGCCUCACCACACUGCUUAAAGUCUUUCCGGACAAGCACAUAUUACAUCUCACGCAUCACACAAAAACCACAACGCUCCACGUCAUACCUCCACAUCUAAUGGCCACUCUUUAAUCCUUAAGGACAAACAAACAUUACACAUGGCGCAUCAUGCAAAAACCACACCGCUCCACGUCAUCUCUCCACAUCUAAUGACCACCCUCUACACCACUCUCAACCGUCCCCAGAAGACCAGAACACAACACAGCUCCAUGUCACCGAUCCAUAAAAAACCAAAAAAGGCAAAGAAAACAUCCAAAACCAAACCGAACAAAAAGCCAUGAAAUACAUACAAGAGAACAAAAAACCGCCGAGAAGAGAAACGAAAGAUAAGAAAAAACCGAAAAGAAAAGGAGGAAAAAGAGGAGGAAGAAAGAAAGAAAGAAAGAAACGAAGCGAGGGG